CGGGCCAAUAAGCAGCGGCGAGGGGCGGUCAGUGAGCGGGACCUGGUGAUCAGGCAGCCGUACGGUGAAUGAGCUCAGGUGGAAGUUCAGAGGUUGGAGCAUGGGACAGAAGGAUCCAAGGCGCGGGGGAGAGGUCAAGUCAAGUCAAGUCCAGUCAAGCGUGUUGUCGUGUCAUGUGUACGCAGCGAGGUACAGCAACAAGGAAAAACCUAGCAGGCUCAGGUGAUUGCGAAAGACAUCUCCUUUUCAAAGGGUUACCCCAAAAGUCCUUGAUACUUCAGUUCUGUUGGAGCCAGAAGUUUGGCAACAUUUGCAGGCUGCCCAGCACAAUCCUCGCUGAUUGAUGCAAAUGAUGCACUUCACUGUAUAUUUGUGACAAAUAAAGUUACUCUCAUUGUAAUCUUAUCUCAUCGUUAAAACACCUGGUUUACUGAAAAAAAUCUGAGCGUAAAAUCUAUGGGCAAUAAAUUGAAGUUGCUGGAAGUCUGAAAUGAAAACCAGAUGCUGGCAUACACAUCAGGUUGGGCAGUGCCAGAUGUAAGCUCAGGGUUCAGUUCCCAUUGCUGUUUGUAAGAAGGACCCCUCUGGAAUGGAGUGUUGAAUAUAAUCAUGGAAUGAUUGGGAUAUCCGUCUUCAUCCGUCACUGCACCACACCUCCCCAGCCAAUCCCGUUGUUACUCUCCAAAUUAGUCCUACCCUCCAUCUCGACUGAAUUAUAAUCACCUGAAGAGGAUUAGUAUUGUGGAUGCACCAAUGUCAAUAGAUUCAUUGAUGAAGGAAUCAUUAAAUCAAGGCUCAGGUGAUUAUUAAAGAUGACUCCUUUCCAAGGAUGUGCUCCAGAUUUCCUUGAUAUUUUCUAAUCUCUCUAAACCCCAUUCCCCCACUUACUCCCGUAACUUUCGACACCCUAAUUGAUCAAGAACCCAUUAACCUCCCCUAAUUGAAUUAGAUUAUCUUAUCUCUAUGGAAAGUUGCUGUCAAAUGUACCUUCAAAAUAAUCGUUAUCCUUGAAGUAUCAACUCAUUAGAUUCUUCGGGACAUGUCCCAAGUUACUUGAAAAACUUUAAAAAAAUG